GAGGAAUAUUGGUCAAUGGGCGAGAGCCUGAACCAGCCAUCCCGCGUGCAGGAUGACAGCCCUAUGGGUUGUAAACUGCUUUUCCACGCCAAGAAACGGCUCUACGUGUAGGGCACUGACGGUAGCGUGGGAAUAAGCAUCGGCUAACUCCGUGCCAGCAGCCGCGGUAAUACGGAGGAUGCAAGCGUUAUCCGGAUUCAUUGGGUUUAAAGGGUGCGCAGGCGGGCUUUUAAGUCAGUGGUGAAAAGCUGCCGCUUAACGGUAGUCUUGCCUUUGAUACUGAGAGUCUUGAGUUUGGAUGAGGUAGGCGGAAUGUGCAGUGUAGCGGUGAAAUGCAUAGAGAUUGCACAGAACACCGAUUGCGAAGGCAGCUUACUAAUCCACGACUGACGCUGAGGCACGAAAGCGUGGGGAUCAAAC
rnacentral:rRNA from 1 species